AUGCCAGCAAAUUUGGAAAACUCAGCAGUGGCCACAGGACUGAAAAGGUCAGUUUUCUUUCCAAUCCCAAAGAAAGGCAAUGCCAAAGAAUGCUCAAACUACUGCACAAUUGCACUCAUCUCACAAGCUAGUAAAGUAAUGCUUAAAAUUCUCCAAGCCAGGCUUCAGCAAUACGUGAACCAGGAACUUCCAGAUGUUCAAGCUGGUUUUAGAAAAGGCAGAGGAACCAGAGAUCAAAUUGCCAACAUCUGCUGGAUCAUCAAAAAAGCAAGAGAGUUCCAGAAAAACAUCUAUUUCUGCUUUAUUGACUAUGCCAAAGUCUUUGACUGUGUGGAUCACAAUAAACUCUGGAAAAUUCUGAAAGAGAUGGGAAUACCAGACCAGCUGAUCUGCCUCUUGAGAAACCUAUAUGCAGGUCAGGAAGCAACAGUUAGAACUGGACAUGGAACAAGAGACUGGUUCCAAAGAGGAAGAGAAGUACGUCAAGGCUAUAUAUUGUCACCCUGCUUAUUUAACUUCUAUGCAGAGUACAUCAUGAGAAAUGUGGGGCUGGAAGAAGCACAAGCUGGAAUUGAGAUUUCUGGGAAAAAUAUCAAUAACCUCAGAUAUGCAGAUGACAUCACCAUUAUGGCAGAAAGUGAAGAACUAAAGAGCCUCUUGAUGAAAGUGAAAGAGGAGAGGGAAAAAGUUGGCUUAAAGCUCAACAUUCAGAAAACGAAGAUCAUACCAUCUUGUUCCAUCACUUCAUGGCAGAUAGAUGGGGAAACAGUGGAAACAGUAUCAGACUUUAUUUUUCUGAGCUCCAAAAUCACUGCAAAUGAUGAUUGCAGCCAUGAAAUUAAAAGACACUUUCUCCUUGGGAGGAAAGUUAUGACCAACCUAGAUAGCAUAUUAAAAAGCAGAGACAUUACUUUGCCAACAAAGGUCCAUCUAGUCAAAGCUAUGGUUUUUCCAGUAGUCAUGUAUGGAUGUGAGAGCUGGACUACAAAGAAAGCUGAGCACCGAAGAAUUGAUGCUUUUGAACUGUGGUGUUGGAGAAGACUCUUGAGGGUCCCUUGGACUGCAAGGAGAUCCAACCAGUCCACCCUAAAGGAGAUCAGUCUUGGGUGCUCAUUGGAAGGACUGAUGUUGAAGCUGAAACUCCAAUACUUUGGCCACCUGAUCCAAAGAGCUGACUCAUUGGAAAAGACCCUGAUGCUGCGAAAGAUUGAGGGCAGGAGAAGAAGGGGACGACAGAGGAUGAGAUGGUUGGAUGGCAUCACAAACUCGAUGGACAUGAGUUUGUGUAAACUCUUCGAGUUGGUGAUGGACAGGGAGGCCUGGCUUGCUGUGGUUCAUGGGGUCGCAAAGGGUCAGACACAACCGAGCAACUGA
rnacentral:lncRNA from 1 species